rnacentral:rRNA from 1 species
AGUCAAUAGAUACCCGGGUAGUCCAUGCCGUAAACGAUGAUUGCUAGGUGUGGGGGGUCUGACCCUUCCGUGCCGGAGUUAAACACAAAUAAGCAAUCCACCUGGGGAGUACGGCCGCAAGGUUGAAACUCAAAGGAAUUGACGGGGGCCCGCACAAGCAGUGGAGUAUGUGGUUUAAUUCAAAGCAACGCGAAGAACCUUACCAGGUCUUGACACCCACCGAAUCCUGUAGAGAUACGGGAGUGCCCUUCGGGGAACGGUGAGACAGGUGGUGCAUGGUUGUCGUCAGCUCGUGUCGUGAGAUGUUGGGUUAAGUCCCGCAACGAGCGCAACCCUUGUGAAUAGUUGCUACGAAAGAGCACUCUAUUCAGACCGCCGUUGACAAAACGGAGGAAGGUGGGGAUGACGUCAAAUCAUCAUGCCCCUUAUGACCUGGGCUACACACGUACUACAAUGGUCGUCAACAGAGGGAAGCAAGACCGCGAGGUGGAGCGAACCCCUAAAAACGAUCUCAGUUCAGAUUGCAGGCUGAGACUCG